UUUUAUUUCUAUUUCUUAUUAUUAUUAUUAUUAUUAUUAUUAUUAUUAUUAUUAUUAUUAUUAUUAUUAUUAUUAUUAUUAUUAUUAUUAUUAAUCGAUAUUUCUUUUGUUUUAUUAUGUUUCCGAUUUCUACUCUCGUUUUUGUUUUAAUUGUGUAGGUAACGAGUUCAAUGGGUCGGUUUAAAGGCAAGGCAAAAUGCAAAAGCUAUCCUACACCACAUCUCCACUAUCAUACACCACAUCAAUUGUUCCAUCUCCUUCCCUGCUGCCAACCACCAACACCCUUCGUACCAAACCACCAUCCCACGCAUCAAGCAACAACACCAACACUGCACCUGCAUCUCCACAUCGCCACAAACAUUCAAUCAUCACCAUAAUUGUAUCAACACCAAACGCAACAACAAACCCAAAAUAGCAAUCAAAAUCAAGUGAAAAACAUAGCAAUUGGUUCGGUCGAACCCGAAUGAAGUUCGCCCAAACCACAAGUAAGUUCGACCAGAUCUUUUUCAGGUUCGUCCGAACAUUUGAACGAGUUUGGUUGUACGGAAUUAAUGAAGUCACGUGGAUGCACUCGUGGUUGAGGUUGGUGGAAGAUCAACAGUGAUGAUGGUCGAUUGAUUGUUGCUCGACGAGUCGAUGGUGGCCGUUGAUGAGGAUGAUGGCGAUUGAAUGGGUGAUGAAUUGGAGGAGGAUAGAUGAAGAUCGACGGCCUUGAUGAUCGAUGAUUGAUUGAUCCUGAUCCGUUAAUGAGGGUUAAUGAUGAUGAGAAGGAGGGGAGUGAAACUCCAUGGGCGGAGCAGCGAAUUGCAAACCAGGCGAAGCAACGAAGAAGAAAAAAUUGGGUCUGGUUGUUUUGAAAGAAAAUAAGGCUGAAUGUUUUUGGGCCUUUGUUUUGGUUUCUGUCUGGAUCCGUUUUUGGUCUCCUUUUUCUUUGGAAUCCUCUUUUCUUUUCUCCACUCACUUUUCUUUUCAUUUUUCUCUUCUUUUCAUUUUUCUUUCUUUCUUUAUUUUAUUUUAUCCUUUUUUCCCUCAUAUUUUGUUUUCGAUUGAAUUUUCUCUUUUUUUUAAUUUUCUUUUUAGUUUUGUAGUAUAAAUACUCUUCUAUUUUUCUAUUUUUGGGGAGAGGUAAAUAAUUAGGUUUAGUUUUCUCUCAUUUUUUUAGGGUUUUCUUUAGUUUAGUUUCUAUUUUCUAAGAGUGAGAAAGUGAAGAAAAAUCAUUGAAAAUGGAGGAUUAUGGACAAUACAAGAAGAUUUGAAGCAUUUAUUCACCAAUCAAUGAGAAUUUUCUACCCUCCUUAUUUAUUGCUUAUUUAUUACUUUAUUUAUCAUUUUAAUUAGUUUAAUUGUUUUUGUUUAGUUUAAUGAUUCAUGUUUAGAUUAGUUGUUAUUAUUGUUUAGAAUCAUGUUUUUAGUUGUUAAUUUCCAUAAAUUUUGUGUUUUUAUGUUGAUUGAGUAGUGUUUUGAUUAGGGUUUGAUGAAAACUCAACAUUGAUUGGUUUGGGUGUUUGUGCUUAGAAAUUAGGGAUUUUCAUGAUUAAAUUAUCACAUGUUUAAGAAUUUCUGAUACAUGUUGCAUUUAACUUGAUCAAUUAAGUGUUCCAUGAUAGAUUGGAGUAGUCUAGUUGAGUUGGAAAGGGAUUAAAGACCUAAACUUGACUAUUUGGUUGAAUUGGACUUUAACUUACCCCGGGAUGAUAGUGUAGAACGGGAGUUCAUGUUUGAUUCUUAGGGAAAUUGCUCGCACGUCGGGAGAUAGUUGGAGCUAUUUGUGAAUUCAACGCCUAUUCAUGUAGUGCUUGUGAAUCUUCCCCGUUUUCAAUUCUUUUAUGUCCAUUCAAUGAUUUGUUGUUGUUUGACCCAUUCCCUAAUCUCGUUUACUUUUGAUUUCUUAGUUUAAUUUAAUUAGUUUUAUUCGAUUAGUGAUUUUCCAAAACCUCGUUUCGACCUAGCUUGUUGUUCGAUUAGCAUAAAUUAGCGCACCUUAGUCCUUGUGGAUUCCGACCCUUGCUUACCGGUUUACUUGUGUUUAGUGGUUAGUUUAGGUAAUUUGUUUGAUUAGGAGAGACUAGUAACGACCUAGUUUUCCCCGCGAUCAAAAUGGCGCUGUUGCCGGGGACUUCGGUUUGCAUUAGUUUGUGUUAGUUAGAUUAGUCUAGGUCUUUGUGCAUAGUUAUUUGUUUUGUUCGUUUUAUUUUGAAAAUUCCUAAAAAAAUGGAAACUAUCCCUAACUCUCAAAAUGAUGAAUCGUAUACACUUGAUGAUUUCACAUCUCUCCACCAUGAGCUUCUCCAUAAUGAGUUCCUUAAUGCUUUGCAAUCCGAGUCGGUCAUUUCAUUGUCCGAGUUUCGUCUUUUUAUAACUCAGUUGGAUUGUCAAGAAAAUCUUAAAAGGGAUUCGUUUAUUAAGAAAUUUGAGAUUGCUUCCCAAACUUUUGCAAAAGGUAUGGUAGAAGUUUCUAACCUACUAAAUGAAUCUAUUCGGGAUGCUUCAUGGAGAAGAGAUGAAUUUGAGGCUAAUUUGCCACCUAUGACGCAUGACAUUGAGGAAUUGAGUAUUGGGGAUUAAAUUCCUACUCAUUCCUCCUUGAAUGAGUGCCUCGAUGAUGGUGAUGAAGAGCUCUUUGCUCCAUUUUGUUCUCAAGUGCUCAAUUCGAUUCUAAUUGAGGGUGAUGUUGCCAUCCAAAAAGAGUUUCUUGAGGAGAGUUUGCCUAUUUGUUUUUCACUUCCUUAUUUUGAUUCUUCUUUUUCUUAUUUUCUUGUUUUUUCUUUUGAUCCUUCUUCUUUUAGGCAUCCCUCUCCUCAUUGGCAUAGAGUUGUAAUUGUUGCAUCUUGUCAUUGCAUACUUAAUAUCUUGUGAAAUGUGUUCUAGUGCAUUUGACAAGUUAUUGCGAUCUUUGAAUGGUUAUUUACUAGAAUGGUCAUGCUUGGGACAUUAAACAAGUCUUUCUCGGGAAGUAACCCGUGUUUUAUUUGUAACAGCCCUGGUUUUACGCAGCUUUAAAUCUAUCGUUAAGCAUAAAUUAUUUUCUUAAUUUGGUAUUUAAAAACUACUUUUGAAACUAAAUUGAGAUUAGGAUCUUGAAAUUUUAUUAAACUGGUGAAUGAAUUUGAGAUCUUCAUUAGUAUAUCUAAGCUAGUCUUCGAAUUAAUUCUCGAGUUUUACCUUGAGAUAAAUUUUUUUUUGGAAAUUUAUUUGUUUUAAGAGUUUAUAUUUUGUUAAUUUUAAAUUUAUUUAUUUAAAAUCGAUAAUUUUAAUGCAAUUAGGAUUUCUAUUUUAAAUCAAAUUAAUGAUAGUAUAUUAUUGUCUUAUUUUUCUUAAUUAAUUAGUUAUAGGAAUAUUUUCCAAAUUAGCUUAAUUUUAAACUUAUUCAAGUUGAAUCAAGCUAAAUGAAUACUCUCUUGCCUAAAGUCCUAUUUCCUUUUUUAGGUGAUGAGUCAUCAAACCAAACCAACAAUGUUUUCAAAACCAUGGUUUGGAAUAAAAAGAAACAGAAACAAAUCCCUCACUCAUUUUCUCUCUCCCCCUUGCCGUGCUUCCCUUUCCCUCUUCUCCCUGAGCUUCCUUCCCCUCUUCACUCGGUUGUCUCUCUCUCUCCUCCUCACUCCACCUCGACGCCCAACCACAGCGUCACUGUUUCCCUCGCCAGUUGUCGCCGGUGUUGCGGUUGUUGCUGAUUGUUGUGUGGCUUCACUGCCUCCCCUCCCUUCGUUCCUUUGUCCCCGCGCCACCGCCGCUAGCACCGCCUCCAUCGUCUUCGCUCCGUCGCCACUUCCGCUCCUUUGUGUUGCCGGUGCAUGUAGGGAUUAGGUUCCCUCGCCGGCGGCUUUAUGCUUCCCUUUCGCUCUGCUCCGAGUCGUGUCGUCGCCGCCGCCGCUAGUGGUGUUCACCAAUCCACCAUCACUAAUUCUUCUUCACCAAUUGGUAAUCAAUUUAUCUCCUUUCCUUGAUUUACUAUUUUAAAUUUCAAUUUCAAAAUCAUAAAACCCUAACUCAAUUUUUUUUUCCCCUGCUCUAUGACGGGGUGUCGUCCUCCUUCGCCGCCGGAGCCUCGAUGACCGUUGUUGUAGCUACCUUGAAUUGUUGUUGGUCGAUACUUCUCUGCCUCCUUGCUUCCUCUUGAGGGUGAAUUGUUGGAGAGUGUUUAAGGAGAAUUGGAUUACAAAGAUAAGAAGGGAUGUGAUCAAAGUGUAGUUCUUGGAAUAUAUGUAUCGGAUAUUGGAGAGUUAAAAUGUUUUGCAGGCAGCGAGAAUCGAGUCUCAGUUCAGGUUCAAGGUGCGUAGAAGUCCUCCAGAGGUUUUAUAUGCUUCAAGGCGGGCAUAUGGAUUCUCCAAGUGUAUUUAAGUCCUUCCUAAUUUAUUAAUGGGUUGUAUAAUUUGUUCUAGAAUUUUUCUUUCUUUGGGUUAUUAUUUAUGGAUUAUAUAUCCUUGUUGAGUUGGUGUCACUCUAAUGAUGUUUUUGGGAGAUUUAUAUGCUGGAAUGAUGAAAUA